rnacentral:rRNA from 1 species
AUUGAACGCUGGCGGCAGGCCUAACACAUGCAAGUCGAACGAGUGGCGGACGGGUGAGUAAUGUCUGGUAAUCUGCCUGAUGGAGGGGGAUAACUACUGGAAACGGUAUCUAAUACCGCAUACCAUCAGAUGUGCCCAUAUGGGAUUAGCUAGUUUGUGGGGUAAAGGCUCACCUAGGCGACGAUCCCUAGCUGGUCUGAGAGGAUGACCAGCCACACUGGAACUGAGACACGGGCCAGACUCCUACGGGAGGCAGAAGUGGGGAAUAGUGCACAAUGGGCGCAAGCCUGAUGCAGCCAUGCCGCGUGUAUGAAGAAGGCCUGCGGGUUGUAAAGUACUUUCAGCGGGGAGGCGUUAACCGCAGAAGAAGCACCGGCUAAAUCCGUGCCAGCAGCCGCGGUAAUAC